GGUAGUGUGGCCAAGCAGUCUAAGGUGCUGGAUUUAGGCUCCUGUCUCUAUGGGGGAGUGGGUUCGAAUCCCAUGGCUGCCA
rnacentral:tRNA from 1 species